AACCCGAAUUAAUAAUUAUCGGCGUAAGGCGUGUUUAAGGUUAUACCCAAAAUAAAGUUAAACCUAGACUAAGCCGUAAAAAGCCCUAGUCAUUGUAAAAUAACCUACGAAAGUGACUUUAAAAUCCUGAGCACACGGCAGCUAAGAUCCAAACUGGGAUUAGAUACCCCACUAUGCUUAGCCUCAAACCUAAGAAGUUAAAUCAACAAAACUGCUCGCCAGAGUACUACUAGCCAAAGCUUGAAACUCAAAGGACUUGGCGGUGCUUUACAUCCAUCUAGAGGAGCCUGUUCUGUAAUCGAUAAACCCCGGUAAACCUCACCAACUCUUGCCAAAU
rnacentral:rRNA from 1 species